rnacentral:rRNA from 1 species
UACGGAGGGUGCAAGCGUUGUCCGGAUUUAUUGGGUUUAAAGGGUGCGUAGGCGGUCUGUUGCGUCGGCUGUGAAAACCCGGGGCUCAACUCCGGGCCUGCAGCCGAUACGGGCAGACUAGAGUUCGGCAGGGGAGACUGGAAUUCCUGGUGUAGCGGUGAAAUGCGCAGGUAUCAGGAGGAACACCGAUGGCGAAGGCAGGUCUCUGGGCCGAGUACUGACGCUGAGG